rnacentral:rRNA from 1 species
GCAAGUCGAACGCGUUGGCCCAACUGAUUGAACGUGCUUGCACGGACUUGACGUUGGUUUACCAGCGAGUGGCGGACGGGUGAGUAACACGUAGGUAACCUGCCCCAAAGCGGGGGAUAACAUUUGGAAACAGAUGCUAAUACCGCAUAACAAUUUGAAUCGCAUGAUUCAAAUUUAAAAGAUGGCUUCGGCUAUCACUUUGGGAUGGACCUGCGGCGCAUUAGCUUGUUGGUAGGGUAACGGCCUACCAAGGCUGUGAUGCGUAGCCGAGUUGAGAGACUGAUCGGCCACAAUGGAACUGAGACACGGUCCAUACUCCUACGGGAGGCAGCAGUAGGGAAUCUUCCACAAUGGGCGCAAGCCUGAUGGAGCAACACCGCGUGAGUGAAGAAGGGUUUCGGCUCGUAAAGCUCUGUUGUUAGAGAAGAACGUGCGUGAGAGCAACUGUUCACGCAGUGACGGUAUCUAACCAGAAAGUCACGGCUAACUACGUGCCAGCAGCCGCGGUAAUACGUAGGUGGCAAGCGUUAUCCGGAUUUAUUGGGCGUAAAGCGAGCGCAGGCGGUUUGAUAAGUCUGAUGUGAAAGCCUUUGGCUUAACCAAAGAAGUGCAUCGGAAACUGUCAGACUUGAGUGCAGAAGAGGACAGUGGAACUCCAUGUGUAGCGGUGGAAUGCGUAGAUAUAUGGAAGAACACCAGUGGCGAAGGCGGCUGUCUGGUCUGCAACUGACGCUGAGGCUCGAAAGCAUGGGUAGCGAACAGGAUUAGAUACCCUGGUAGUCCAUGCCCGUAAACGAUGAGUGCUAGGUGUUGGAGGGUUUCCGCCCUUCAGUGCCGCAGCUAACGCAUUAAGCACUCCGCCUGGGGAGUACGACCGCAAGGUUGAA